AACGAACGCUGGCGGCAGGCUUAACACAUGCAAGUCGAGCGGCCCCCUCGGGGGCAGCGGCAGACGGGUGAGUAACGUGUGGGAAUCUACCCAAUUCUACGGAAUAACUUAGGGAAACUUGAGCUAAUACCGUAUACGCCCUCCGGGGGAAAGAUCUUAUCGGAAUUGGAUGAGCCCGCGUCGGAUUAGCUGGUUGGUGGGGUAAAGGCCUACCAAGGCAACGAUCCGUAGCUGGUCUGAGAGGAUGAUCAGCCACACUGGGACUGAGACACGGCCCAGACUCCUACGGGAGGCAGCAGUGGGGAAUAUUGGACAAUGGGCGAAAGCCUGAUCCAGCCAUGCCGCGUGAGUGAAGAAGGCCCUAGGGUUGUAAAGCUCUUUCACCGGUGAAGAUAAUGACGGUAGCCGGAGAAGAAGCCCCGGCUAACUUCGUGCCAGCCGCCGCGGUAA
rnacentral:rRNA from 1 species